rnacentral:rRNA from 1 species
UGAUGACGAGUGGCGCACGGGUGCGUAACGCGUAUGCAAUCUACCUUUUACAGGGGGAUAGCCCAGAGAAAUUUGGAUUAAUAUCCCAUAGUAUCAAGAGUCGGCAUCGGCAUUUGAUUAAAGAUUUAUCGGUAAAAGAUGAGCAUGCGUCCUAUUAGCUAGAUGGUGUGGUAACGGCACACCAUGGCAACGAUAGGUAGGGGCCCUGAGAGGGGGAUCCCCCACACUGGUACUGAGACACGGACCAGACUCCUACGGGAGGCAGCAGUGAGGAAUAUUGGACAAUGGGCGCAAGCCUGAUCCAGCCAUGCCGCGUGCAGGAAGACUGCCCUAUGGGUUGUAAACUGCUUUUAUACGGGAAGAAACACUCCCUCGUGAGGGAGCUUGACGGUACCGUAAGAAUAAGGAUCGGCUAACUCCGUGCCAGCAGCCGCGGUAAUACGGAGGAUCCAAGCGUUAUCCGGAAUCAUUGGGUUUAAAGGGUCCGUAGGUGGAUAAUUAAGUCAGAGGUGAAAUCCUGCAGCUCAACUGUAGAAUUGCCUUUGAUACU